rnacentral:rRNA from 1 species
CAGCAGCCGCGGUAAUACGAAGGGUCCAAGCGUUACUCGGAAUUACUGGGCGUAAAGCGUGCGUAGGUGGUGGUUUAAGUCCGUUGUGAAAGCCCUGGGCUCAACCUGGGAAUUGCAGUGGAUACUGGGUCACUAGAGUGUGGUAGAGGAUAGUGGAAUUUCCGGUGUAGCAGUGAAAUGCGUAGAGAUCGGAAGGAACAUCUGUGGCGAAGGCGACUAUCUGGGCCAACACUGACACUGAGGCACGAAAGCGUGGGGAGCAAACAGGAUUAGAUACCCCCGUAGUCCCUGUCUCUUAUAC